UUCAUCGCUCGCGAUGUUUAACUUGCAUGAUUGUGAUACGUCCUACCGGUGGGCUUAGCUUUGUGUCAAAGCAAGGCGGUCCAGCUAUUAUCCCAUCGCGGUGCUCUUUACCGAGUGUCGUUAUGGGCCGGUACGUUUACUUUGAACAAAUUAGAGUGCUCAAAGCAGGCUUUGUUCGCCUGAAUACUUCGUGCAUGGAAUAAUGGAAUAGGACCUCGGUUCUAU
rnacentral:rRNA from 1 species